rnacentral:rRNA from 1 species
UCCCAUCCCGAACAGGACCGUGAAACUGCUUUGCGCCGAUGAUAGUGUGGCACUUGCCCAUGCGAAAGUAGGUCACCGCCAGGU